rnacentral:lncRNA from 1 species
UAACAUUAAGUAGUGUACAUGGUGGUCAUUCAGAUGAUUUUAACAUUUCAAACAUACAAUCAUUUCUUUAAGUAGCAGUGCAGAUGAGAGAAGAACUGAGAUCUUCAUUCCCUCCACUUUUUGGAAGCAAUUUCCCUGUUAAAGAAUAAUCUUUAUUGUAUAUCACAAGAAAGAUAUCUUUGAUUGACUUUUAAUACUGCCCAAUAGAUGGCAGUCAUACACACACAGGGCUAUGCUUCAAAGCCAGGAAAUUAGCACAGCCAGAACCAGAAGCGGGUCCCUGGAUGAAACAGUGAAAGUUCAGCAGCUGAGCUGCAAGAUCACAAGACUGCUGUGGAGGGACAGAUCAGCAGGAGGGAGCCAGGCAGACAUGGAUAUAUUUGCACAGGCACUGGGAUUGGAAUCUGUGUUGCCUUUCACUCAGGUCCUUUAUCUCUGUACACCAAAAGCUUUAUGGUGAAUGCUUGCAACCUCUAUAGAGGCAAAAAUUGGUGAUUGAUUCUACAACCCCUGAAAUAGAGGUGAUAAAACCACACGGCAGGUAAGUCCUUCUUUCUUACCAAGUAAUUCCUUGUGUAAAUUUGCACGGGGACCUCAUCAUCGUUCAGUCAUUUAGUCGU